UAGAAAUUAUAUCUAUUAACCUGUAGGGAAAUAUUAUAUUAAGUUUAAAUUUUGUAGAUGUUUAUUAGGCUUUUAAAAACUGUUUGGAGCUCUUUUUUUAGGAGAGAAUCAUGGCUAAAAUCUUCUAAGCCCCACUUUUAAAUUAGUUGUGUUGUCAUACAUAAAAAAUAAACUGCUAUAAUACGUGUUUUGGGUUAAAAUAGACCGUGCUCGUUAAUGACUUCACAUAAUAUUAAUUAAAGCCUAACCUAUUAUAGGUACCUCAUCGGUCAAAAAAUUAUUUUGAUAAGAUAUCCAUUUUUUUAAUAGGAAGCCCCCGGCCGUUCAAUUGUUCAGCUG